GGGUCCAUAUGGACAUUAUUUGAUGCUGUAUUUGGUUGUUUGGGCUUCAAGGAGACCUCUUUGAGGCGUUGAGUCUGCUGAUACAGAGUGUUACACCUGAAUUUUCUCAACAAAUUCAGCAACUUCAGUGAUUUCUUGGUAUUUGGUUCGAUUUCCAAUAAAUGAAUCAUCUUUGUGUUGUAUUAUUUGGUUGUCACAUGAACUGAAGUAUUGCAACUUAUGUUGGUUUCUUUUGUGGAUUAGAAGUUGAGAGGAUUAUGCAUUUGACUAUUAUUAUAGGUUGAAUUUGAUUCAAAGUAUUGGCUUGUUA